rnacentral:rRNA from 1 species
UACGGAGGGGGCUAGCGUUGUUCGGAAUUACUGGGCGUAAAGCGCACGUAGGCGGUUUUGUAAGUUAGAGGUGAAAGCCUGGGGCUCAACUCCAGAAUAGCCCUUAAGACUGCAUCACUUGAACACGGGAGAGGUGAGUGGAAUUCCGAGUGUAGAGGUGAAAUUCGUAGAUAUUCGGAAGAACACCAGUGGCGAAGGCGGCUCACUGGACCGUUGUUGACGCUGAGGUGCGAAAGCGUGGGGAGCAAACAGG